rnacentral:lncRNA from 1 species
CUGAGAGACACAGACACAGAGAGAGGCAGAGACACAGGCAGGGGAAGGGGCGUGGUCAGGUGUACAGACCAGGUACAGAUGGGGAUUUGAUGAUACUGGCCAAGUGGGCUUGGGUUUCUAGCAGCUGUUGUGGCCUCAGGGGUUCCCUUUAUAACUACAAGAGAGGCAGCUAUUGGUAAUGCAGUGGGUAUACUUUGCUCGGGCUGAUGUAACAAAGAACCACAAACCUGAUGGCUUAAGCAACAGAAAUUACUUGUCUGUAGCUCUGGGUGCUGGAAGUUCAAGAUCACAGUGUUGGCCACGUUGGUUCAUUCUGGGGACUCUGAGGAGGAAUCUGCUCCAUGCCCCUCUCCUAAUUUCUGGUAGUUUGCUGAGAAUCUUUGGUGUUUCUUGACAUGUAAAAGCAUCCCUGAGAUCCCUACCUUCAUCUUUGCAUGCUGUUCUCUGUGCUUGUGUCUAUGUCCAAAUUUCCCCUUUUUAUAAGGAUACCAGUCAUUUUGGAUUGGGGCCCACCCUGUUCAUUUUAACUGAUUCUAUGCAACAGCCCUAGUUCCAAAUACAGUCAUAUUCUGAGGUACCAGGGAUUAGGACUUCCACAUAUGAAUUUUGGGGGGACACAAUUCAAGCCAGAAUAGUGGGUGUCAGGGACAUUGCUCACUUCUGGACACUCCAAUUCAUUCAGUAUUCAUUCUGAGUACCUGAGCAUUCAAGACACUUUACUAGGUAUAACAGGGAAUAUACUGAUAGACUGAAACAACAUCCCUGGCUUCAGGGACCUGGAGUUGGUGGUGGUAGAAGGAGCCAGUGGAGUAUGAAAAACUCAGAUAACGAAAACAGGAGUAGAAUCUGAUAAAUGCUAUGUGAGAUAGGAGCAGAUUGUUACUUACAUAAAUUAAAAGAUGAUUUGAGAAGGGAGGUGAAGUCUUGCAGCUGAUUUGGCUUAUUUUUGAUUAUACAGGUAAGGGAUCUCAUUUCCGAAAAUGUCAAACGACCUCCUGAAGGUCUUCCCUACCGUAAUCUUUCAAUUACACCAUGUAUAUAAGCACACUUGCAGACCCAUUUUCUAGUAUGUCAGAUGUCUUUGAAAUGUAUUACUUAAAAAAUUAUUUUUAUAUAACUGGUCAGGAAAAAGAUUACAUGAGCUUGUAAACACAGUGAAAAAUAAUGUUUGAAAGAAGUCAGAGACAUUUAUAUCCAGAGCAAAGUGACUGAGCUGUUGACUAAAUAUUGACUGUAAAUCUUCAGCCUCCCACUAUCCACAGGUGCCAAUCUGCCUACAGUUAUACACAGUUUAUAUCAUAUAUAUUUGAUGCCAAAAUGCACAGUAAGUUUCUUGAAUCCUUUAAAAAUAAAAUCACUAACCACCUUGAAUCACUAUGGUCUUCUGCUCCCUUCAUAGCAUUCAUCUUUCCUAAUUGAGGUCAGAAUGAGCUAGGAGAAAUGAGCUAGGCUCUGCACUUAGACCUGGACUCUUUUUGCACCAACAGAUAAACAUUGAUUAUUGCCAAUGCAAUUGCAAUAUUGAAAAAUACAAUGUGGAGCUGGGAUCCAUGGACUAGAACUUGAUAACCAUGGGAGCAAAAUGUCUGCCCUGAGUUUAAAGGUGGUUAGGAUUUGGUAGGUGUUGUGGUGUAUGGUGUAGAAAGCGUAAGAAAAAAGAGAAGAUGAAGAGGAAAUUGAUCUUACCCUUUUGGAUAUAUAGUGAAAUUUCCCUAAGAAAGUGAAAUUAUCUUAGGAACGAUCUUAGGGCAAGAGGGGGUGAGAAGUGGAAAUCUGGAAUCAUUGAUUCAAAAUAGAAUUUCUGAUUUAUUUUAUGCAAAUGGAAGGUAGGAUUGGCUUUGUUAUUGACAGCAUUUAAGACAUCAGGUCCCUGGGUUACAGAUGGGUCUGAUUCUUGGCAUUGGAAUGCUUAAAGUCCCAUAAAGUUGACCCAGACAGUGAUCCAGGCACUAGAGAUGAAUUUGCCAUCUCAUUUGUGGCAGUGAGGAACCAUAACCAGGCAAUGCAUCAUUGAGCCUCUGAUUUGGGAAGGAUAAAUACGGGAAAAAAACCCUUUAGUACUUUUUUAAAAGAGCCUAUUUUUAGGGCAGUUUUCAGUUGAUAGCACAAUUGAGUGCAAGUAGAGAGUUCCCAUAUCACCCCUGCCCCCACAUAUGCACAGCUUCCCUCUAUUAGCAUUCCCCACUGGAGUGGCACAUUUGUUAUAAUUGAUGAACCUACGUUGACACACACACAUCAUUAUGAUCCAAAGUCCAUAGUUUCCUUACUGUUCACUUUUGGUGUUGUGUAGACGAAUGAAUAAUGACAUGUGCCCACAAUUGUAGUACCAUACAGAGUAUUUUCACUGCUCUAAAAAUCUGUGUGCUCCACUUCUUCAUAUAUCUCUCCCCUCAACUCUUGACAACGACUGAUAUUUUUACUGUUUCCAUAGUUUUAGCCUUUUCCAGAAUGUCAUUUGGUUGGAGUCAUACAGUGUGUAGCCUUUUCAAAUUGGCUUCUUUCACUUAGUAAAAUGCAUUUAAAGUCUCCUUUGUAUCUUUUCAUGGCUUGAUAGCUCACUUCUUUUUAUCCUUGAAUAUUUCAUGGUCUGGAAGUACCACAGUUUAUCUCUUCACCUAUGGAAGGACCACUGUGGUUGCUUCCAAGUUCUGACAAUUAUGAGUAAAGCUGCUGUAAACAUCUCUGUGUAGGUUUUUGUGCAGACCUAAGUUUGCAAAUUCUUUGGGUAAAUACCAAGGAGUGGAAUUGCUAAAUUGUAUGAUAGGAGUAUACUUAAUUUUGUAAGAAACCACUAGACUGACCUUCAAACUAGCUGUACCAUUUUUGCAUUCUUGCCAGCAAUGAAUGAGAGUUCCUAGUGCUUCGUGUCCUUGUCAGCAUUUGGUGGUGUCAGUAUCAUGGAUUUGGGCCAUUCCAAUAGGUAUGCGGUGGUGGUAUUUCAUUGUUUUAAUUUGUAUUUGCCUGAUGACCUAUGAUACAGAACAUCUCAUAAACUUAUUUGCCAUCUGCUUCUCCCUUUGCCUGUGUCUCUGUCUCUGUCUCUCUGCAUCUCUCAUGAAUAAAUAAAUAAAAUAUUAAAAAAAAAAAAAAA